rnacentral:lncRNA from 1 species
GCCAAUGCAUAAUAACAAGGGGUUACACGUUUAACCCAAUUUUUCAAAGUCUGAAGUAUUUUAAUUAAUUUCAAAUUCCUAAUGAUCCAAAGGUACCUACAUGACCACCCAAAAGAGCCUAAAUUUAAGUUGUGCAAAUCUUACAUGCUUAAUCCCAAGGGUUAUAUAAUUAAAUCCAAAUAUUAGUACAAAGUUUUAAGUACAUUUAAAAUAAGUUGAAAAGUUGAAAUAAGUUGUAAAUACAACAGUCUAAAGCAGCAAGUCUUCAAAGACUUCUUCAAAGCCAAUGGUUUGAAAUUCACGCCCCAAUUCUAGCCUCCAAAGCUGGCGCCGCCCCUUUUCACUCAAUGUCCUUUCACCUUUUGCAAACCUGCAAAACCAAUUCACAAUUUAAAAACAGCUUAUCAAAUAAGCACUUUAAAAAAACUAGAAAAUAAAGGAUGGAAUAAAUAGAUUAACUCUUUACACAAUAAACCAAGAAGAACGUUUAAGAUCACAUUCCAAUAUCCAAACCAACAACCUUAAAUCCAUAAGAUUAAUCAUCCCACAAAAUCUGGAGAAAGGAUAUCUUAUCAAGUUAUCUUAGAACCAACAGUUAGCAUAUAUAAACAACAAAAAAUUAAUUAACAGGGGAUGUUUUGAAAAACUCAGAGGAAAUUGUUGAAAAGAUUUUUCUCUGGUAAACCACAAACAAAAAACAAGACACGCGUUUUUGAUAGAUUCAACAGAAUAACCAAAUAUUCUCCAACUCUAACAAAGCCAAGCAUACGUUUCUGAAAAAAUCGAGAAAAGGACAAUCAAAGACCUUUUCUCUGUUAAACCUAAACCAAACAGAAGAAACGUUUUUUUGAAAUCUCUGAUACCAAUCAAAACAAUAAUCCAUAAAAUCUCCAAACCCUAAAAUUCAAGCCAAGCAACAAUAUCAUUCAAAACAGGAAAAUAAAGGAGAACAAAAAUAGAAGGAGUGGAACUCAUCUUGAACGGGAGAAGGAGCGUCGUCGGCGACCUGCCUCCGGUCAAGUAUUUUUCUUUCCCUUUCGCUUUUAAUGUUUGUACUACCUCGUUCGUUAUCGUGAGAGGAUGAGAUUUCCAAGGUUCAGUUUAAGAAAACCCUUAUUUUAAUUUUUAGGGUUUCCUGUUUUGUGGUUUGGUUGAUCUUUUGUUGGAAACUGAGGGCGGAUCUUUGAUCUUUGGCAAAAAAGGUGAGGUUUGGUGUUUUUUUAGGGUUGAGGGUGGUGGUCACCGGAGAAGACCGUGGCGGCCGCCGCGCGCCACCGCUUCUCCGAUGAAGGUUGCUUGGAGGUGGUGGUGAAAAUUGCAGAGCAAUUUUAUUUUUUCGUUUAGGUGAAAUAGAGAGAGAGAGAGAGAGAGAGAAGAGAGAGAGUGGAAUGAGAGGAAUGAUCUCACUUC